UGAUUUAGAGCCGUACAAAAACCUCCUUCAGUCUGAAGUGAAAGCGUCCUGCUGCAGCUGCAGAGGGUUGGUGAAGAGACUGUGAGGAGGAUAACUGGUCCAGUGAACACAAGAGUCAUCAAGCAGAACCACAAUGAAUCCAAGUAAAGCUGAAACACACUCACACACACUCUACAAUACACUGAGUAAACUAUAUUAUUGUCAUUCAAUGCAGUCUCUUUAUGAGUGAGCUGGGAAAGUUAGACCUUGUUUAACUUUGGAAAUGAUAUCAAAACAUAAUUAACAGUAUCUUUAUGAACGGCUGUCCAAAGGAAUUAAUGAUAUUACCACGGUCCAUACAUACGCCACAAAAUGUAAAUCACUUUAAUCCUCAUUUAAAAAAAACAAAUCUGGUAAUUUAUACUCCAUAUUCCCAGAGUCAUUUAAAAUUAUAUUAAUAUAAUAACAGGUUUAAUACUGAAGGUGUUAAUACGUCUUUUUCACAACAAACAUAUUAUUACAGAAAUACAAAGACACUGGCUCAUUUUAAUCAACAUUUUUAUUUGAUGAUGGUUUAAUGUUCACGCCACAUUUUAGAUGAAUGAUGAGUUUCUCUUGGAGUGAAACAAAUAGAGUUCAGUUUAACUUGUAAGCUGAUGAACAUAAAGGAGAAUAUGCAGGAUGUGAGGAUCAGAAAGCAACACUAAAACACUGAAUAGAGACAACCUUGCAGGAACCUGUGAGCAGAGGAGAUGUGUAUCUUCAUGAAGAUCUCUAUCAAAGAAGCCGCAUCCUUUCCAGACAGGAAGUGAUGCUGCAGCUCUACUCUGAGCAGCGGGCAGGGUCCAGGCUUUCAGUGACAGGGCUCUGUCCACUCAGACUGGCCUCACAGUUCACUGAACCCGCAUUCCUCCAGCGCUCUGCAGUGAGGCUCAGGGUGCUGCUCCAGCUGUAGCGGCCGUCGCUCCCCAGCACCUCCAGGCUGUUGGACACCCCGGAGGAGCUGCUGCUGCCCCCCACCUUCCAGCCCAGCGUCCAGGCUGAGGGGAAGCCCCCGCUGGCCAGACAGACCAGGGUGGCACUACCCUGCUGCAGCUCCUCUUUGGAGGGGGGGAGGACGCUCAGGGUGGGCCGCUGCACACCCACUGGAGCAGAGAGGGAGGGGGGAGAAAAAAGAAAGAAAUUAGAGUGAAGUCUUGAUGAUAAAGAAAAGUAACAAACUGGUGUUUUCUUAUAUUUCAUCAAAUAAAACAGAAUAACUUGUGCUGCUGUUCCUCUCAUAAAUCACUCAGGAUCAGACCACCAGACACAUGACUCAAGGGUAAAAGACUAAAUUUGAUUUGUGUAAAGUGUAAAAACUAAAGAUGUUCGUUGAUAUUUAUUAUUGAAUACAUCUUCAUAUGUGUGAUGAUGUCUUUUAAACUGACAGAGCUGAAUGUCUCAAGUGAAAAGAGUUCAAACCUUUAUCAUCUGUCUCUUUCACUUCCUUUUCACUACAUGUAAAAUAAAUGAACCGUGAACACGACGACAAGCUGCAUUAGCUGAUAAAAUCACAAGCGUGUUUAAAAGGAUUCCACAUUUAAUUUUAAGUCAAGAAACUAAAAAUAAAGAAAUAAAGUAAAUAUUUUCAACAAUAAAUGUAAAACUGUAAAUGGAGAAGAAGUCAAAUCUUACUUUGAAACAUUUUAGAGUAUAAAAUUAUCACGAUAAUUAAAUACAAUAUAGAAAAAUAAAUCACUUAUUUUACUUUUUAAUACUUUAUCUUACUUUCAAAAAUGUAUUUGUUUGCAAAAGCCAAUUAAUAUAGAUGUCUGCAAAGCUUCUCUUCGGAUUGUGAGAUGAACUCAAUAAAUAAAUACAAAAUAGCAAAAACGAAAGAAUUGUUCAAUCGAGUCUCAUUUAAUAAUCGAUAAAAGUUAUAUAUUUUCUACAUGUUGUAUAAAAUGUAAAUAUCUGGUACUUACAGUCAACGAUGAGUUUGGUUCCUCCACCAAAAGUCACCCACAGUGAUACAAACUCAUUAAGUGGCCGUACAAAAACCUCCUGCACUGUCAACAAGCAUGUAUCCACUGAGAAAACUCUCCUCUGUUACUAAUAACAGAGAAACAUGUCUAUAGUUUUUAAAUCAACAAAGCUUUUAUAAGGAUAUGGAUGAAAUUUCUGGAAAAUUCAUGAAUAUUUCUUUCAAUUUUCUUCACUUUUCUACACCUGGAAGAGAAAUGAUUACAGUCUCCUAAACAAGUUAUUUUCUUUUAGUUUCAUAUUAGUUUCUACAUUUAAUGAACUUGAUGCUUUUAAAUAAUAAUUAUUUACACAUUUAUUUCAAACAGAACUGAAAUACGUUAUUUAUCUACAGUAAAGUAGAUUCAUGUCAGACAAACAGACAUAUCAUACCAACCACAGCAAACACAAACUUAAAUCCUCAACUCCACUCCUGAUAUAAAUAUGUUCUUCCAUUAAGAUGAUAGAUGGUGUAAAUCCAGACAGUAUUCCUCAUGAUUUUGUGUCCCACGUUGCCUUCAGUGUGCUGAGAGCAGAGAAAUCAUUUCCAUAGAGAGGAGGCUUUGCAUCGUCAGCUGAUCCUCCCGUGAACUGAGAAGGUUUAUAGUCCUGUGAGUUCAACACUGCAGGACUCACAUCUGUCAGUCAGCAGAAACCACCAGCACCAUGACUCUCAUCACCAUCCUCAUCUGGACGCUGGCCUGCUGCUGUUUCACAGGAUGCAGCGGUCAGGUGACUGUGACUCAGCCUGCAGUAAAGACAUCUGCUCCAGGAUCCACCGUCACUCUCACCUGUAAAACCAACAGAGAUGUUGCAGGUUGCGGUGCUGGUCAAUGUAUGUUCUGGUAUCAACAGAAAUCCGGACUGCCUCCAAAGCUCCUGAUUAGACAUGUGAGCAUUGUUCAUUCAGGAGAUCGGUUAAGUGGCAGUGGAAGCCGCUCUGACUUCUCUAUGACCAUCACUGGACUGAAGGCUGAAGAUGCAGCAGUUUAUUACUGUCAGAGUAUUCAUGUUAUAAACAGUGCUAAUGUGUUGACACAGUGAUUUGUAGUCGUACAAAAACCUCCUUCAGUCAGACUGCAGACACACUGAACUGUUACAGCAGGAACCGACUGCAGCUGCAGAAGAGGAAGAGACUCUGACACAGACCACUGAACACAGGGCUGACAGGAACCUCACCAAGCACUAAAACACAUUCACACUAAUAUGUUGAAUAAAAUACAUCUUACAAAUCUAACACCACAUUAUAUUACAUUCCCAUUUACAGUCAGCUAAAGAGAGACAGUGGUUUCCUGAUUUCACAUUCGAAUCAUGACUUCAGACUCAAAUCAAAUUGAUCCCAUAGUCAGUUAUUUGUUCAUCAUUUAUCAUUUACUUUUCUUUAAUACUGUAAUGAUUUGUUUACCAGUUCAAUAAGGAGAAACAUCAGUAUUCACAUGUUAAGAACCAAAGCUGUUUCAUUUUCCACAGAGAGGAAUAUCACUUUAUGUUUUAAAUCCAUUUAAUUUCUUACUAAUACAAAAGAAAGACCAAACACAUCAUCAUGAUAUUUAUCAGUGAAAGCUUUAUUAGGAAAAUGAUGAAUCAUCAACAUGACAGUUACUAAGCACGCUCACAUCUCUGCUGAGCUUUACACAUUACUCUCUAAGUUGUUGCUGUCCAACACUUUACAGCAGUGUUGUUCUCUGCCACACAAAGCUUUAGUUUCCUCUACAAACAGUAAAACUCAUAAUGAUCAGAGCAGUAUGUGUUCCCCCUGCUCCCCCCGACACACAGCUCCUGUCCUGGGCUUCAGCCGGCCCCUCUAGCCCUCACACUGGCUCCUGUGGAGGGACUGGGUCUGGCUGUGGUCAUGAUGGAGGACCUUGCAGGAGUAUAGAUCUCCUGACAGCCAGCGCUCCUGGCUCAGGCUCAGGGCGCUGCUGCUGCUGUAGCGUCCGCUCUUCUCCUCCUCCGAGCUGCUCAGCACCCCCUCUGUCACCGCUGUGCCGUCCACCUCCCAGCUCACCACGGCUCCCUGAGGAGAGUAGCCGGACAGCAGGCAGGCCAGCGUGACCGAGCCCCCAGAGAGCUGCUCAGAGGAGGGCGCCAGAAGGGAGACCGAGGGCCUGACCAUGGAGCCCGCUGCAGGGGAGAGCAGAAACACAGAAGGAGCAGAUUAACUUCCACUGCAGGACAGACACUGAACCUGAGACAGAGUUGAAACAGGACAGAGAUACUGUGGGUCAGCUGUGUGCAUGAAGCUGUGAUCACAAGAGGAGCUGAGGCAUGGGAGAACAUGAGGGUUUAAUAUAUCAAAUAAAACGGUGAUACUUGAUAUCAUUUUGGCAUUUAAAAUAAUGAAUCUUUUACUUUGGAACUCAUCAAAAGUCCUUAAGAAGUUUAUGAAAGUUUGCAUCAUAAUGAAGUGUUAAUGUUAAGAUCAUUAUAUGAAAUCCUUCAUCUCUGCUUUACAAUGUUUGAGAAUAAUUAACUAAUCUCUGCAAUAAUUUACUGUUGAGAAAAACAACAUGUAACUUCUUAUAGAGUUGAAGACUUUGUCAUCUGUUUGUUUCACUUCCUUUUAACCUCUUUUAAAUUAACGGACUGUGAACACAAACUGAAGCGACUCUGAAUGAACAAAAAUAAACAUUAAUUUAUUUUAACGGCUCCUCAGAAGAUUUGAUAUGAAACACAAUGUUAAAAUAUCUAACCAUUAAAAUGCAAUUUACAAUGGGACUGUUUUUAUUUUAUGACAGAGCAACUAUUCUUUGGUAAAUGGUAAAAAUGUGUUUAUAUCUUAUUAAAAUUGUACAUAUAAUUCACUGUAACAUCUUCUUUAUAUGAAAAUCAAACAAAUUUUGCUCAAUGUUUUUCAAUUCUUCAGCUAUGCUUUAUAUCAGUAAAAAAAUAUCAACUUUAUUUAUAUUAUUUUAAAUAAUUUCCUGAUUUGUCAUAUUCUAAAGCUAAAGUAAAUGUAAGGUUUAUAGUGUUAGAAAAUACAAUUAUCUGGUACUUACAUUGAACGAUGAGUUUGGUUCCUCCACCAAAAGUCACCACAGUGAUACAAACUCAUUAAGUGGCCGUACAAAAACCUCCUGCACUGUCAACAAGCAUGUAUCCACUGAAUAUACUCCCUGAUCUUACAUUAAACAAGAAAAUGUAUAAUUUUUAAAAUAAAAAAGGCUAUGUAAGGCAAUGGAUGGAAUUUAUUAUGUAAAUAAAUAUUAUUUAUUUCA